GCUCCGGUGACCUUGUGGUUAGAGUGUCCGCCUCAAAUGCGAGAGGUCCUGGGUUCGAUCCCCGGUUUGAGUCA